rnacentral:rRNA from 1 species
UACGGAGGGUGCAAGCGUUAUCCGGAAUCACUGGGUUUAAAGGGUGCGUAGGCGGCACUGUAAGUCAGGGGUGAAAGGCUACAGCUCAACUGUGGAAUUGCCUUUGAUACUGCGGUGCUAGAAUGAGAUUGAGGUAAACGGAAUGUGGCAUGUAGCGGUGAAAUGCAUAGAUAUGCCAUAGAACACCAAUUGCGAAGGCAGCUUGCUAGAUCUUGAUUGACGCUGAGGAACGAAAGCGUGGGGAGCGAACAGG